rnacentral:tRNA from 1 species
CAGAUAUUAGUUUAAUAAAAAAAUUUUAAUUUUGGAGAUUAAAGAUAAGAAUUUCUUAUAUCUGA